UUUCUUUUUUCUCUUUUUCUUAUUAAUUUUAUUAUUUUUUUUCUUAAAUCAAUGAUAAAGUUAAAAUUAAAGGGUACUAAAGUGAAUAUUUGAUAAAUCUAGAUGGGUAUCUGAAGUUUUUUGUAUAUAAUUUAAUAAAAUAUUAAUGAAAAAUCUAUCGAAAAGAUAAAAACGAAACCACAGGGGGACAAUUUGAUACAUUUUAAACCACAAGAGGGCAAGUCAGAAACUACGAAACCACAAUAGGGUUUUUUGAAGUUUUCCCAAAAAGAAAAAGAAGAAAAGAAAACUCUUACUGGGAGGUGCGGGACCGCGCACGGCGACAGGUUGGUAGGGGGAGAGAGGGAAAAGUUGUUGUUUUAUAAUUAAGAGGGAAAAGAAGAGAGGAGGUCCAGAAGAAGCGGGAGAUUUAAUGACACAGCGGUGGUGAUGUGAUGGCCACAAAUGAGAGCCAAAAGAGAUCAGCGGAAAAAUAUGAUUUUACACUUUCUUAUUUUAAUUUCCUGAUAUUUAAAAUAUAUCAUUUUCAUANGGAGACCGCAAUCAUCCCGACCAUACAAUUUUUAAUCAAAGGGUCAAAAAUUCAAAAAGCCCUUUAAGUUACCAAGUAACAUCAUAUGUCUGCCGUUGCCUACCUUGCUAUUAAUUGUAUGCUUGAGAAAAUAUACAGAAUAUUUUUAAAGUAAAAAAUUAUUAUUCAUAUAAAAUUUUAAUUUUAGUUAUAUAUGAUUGGAUAGUUUAAUCCAAUAUUUAUCUAUAUAAUUUACUUAUUUUUGACUGCAUAAAUAAAAAUGAAUAAUAUAGAGAUUGAAGGCGGAAGAAAAGACAUGUGAUGUUGAAAAAAUUAGAUAUUCAACUCAUAAAUUAUUUUUUUUUCAUAUUAUAAUACUAUAUUUCAUAUAAUUAUUUUGUACUUUGAACUAUUAGACAUAUUUUUGUAUCAAAUUAUAGAUAAUGUUCUAUACAAAUUAAACUAUUGAUCGUAUAAAGUUGAGAAUUUCAAGCGGCUUGUUUAGGGCUCGAGCUCGCUCGACUUGAAAUUAGGCUCGCUCGAGCUCGGCUCGAAUUAAUUUCAAUCCAAGCUUGAGCUUAAAUUUAGGCCCGAAAUUAAUUUCAAGCUGAAUUUGAGCCGAGGUAAGCUC
rnacentral:lncRNA from 1 species